rnacentral:lncRNA from 1 species
CAAAGGUUGAAAUGUUGUUAGAUUUCUAACCACUGCCAUUUGUUUCUUACAGCACGUGUUGGAGAGGAGGGGAGACUCUAUGAGCCAUCAAGUGCCUUCACAAUUAACAGUCCACAGUGUGGUCAGAAGCAGUUUAUUUUGGCUUGGCUGUGAGGAGAAGGGAUAUGUGUAAAGGAUCAGUUUCAUUGUAAAGAACACACUUAAAGUUGAGGUGGGAGUGAGUGGCUAAGAGUGGGAACCUCUUCAAUUGGCUUUGUGACAUGUCCUGAGCAACCUGCUCUAGGUGUCCCUGCUUGAGCAGACGGGUGGAUCAGAUGACCUCCAGAGACCCCAUGUCAGAGCUGGAGCCGGCCCUUCACAUGAACAGCCAAACCAGACUUCAGUUCCAGGUGAGAGCACUUCUUGCUACUUUGCUCUGUUGAUUAGUUCUUUGUCUGA